rnacentral:rRNA from 1 species
UACGUAGGGUGCAAGCGUUAAUCGGAAUUACUGGGCGUAAAGCGUGCGCAGGCGGUUCUAUAAGACAGAUGUGAAAUCCCCGGGCUCAACCUGGGAACUGCAUUUGUGACUGCAGAGCUGGAGUACGGUAGAGGGGGAUGGAAUUCCGCGUGUAGCAGUGAAAUGCGUAGAUAUGCGGAGGAACACCGAUGGCGAAGGCAAUCCCCUGGACCUGUACUGACGCUCAUGCACGAAAGCGUGGGGAGCAAACAGG